AAAGCGAUUUUCUUUAAUUUCCGGGAAAGACAAGACUGCAGGGCUGGCACCGGAUAAAACUCUUAUUUAUAGUUCACCGGAUAAAACUCUACGUGUACUUCCCGGAAAUGAUAUGAUUAAUUAGGUUGAGCUCUCAAGUAAACACAAUCUGUGGGCUUGGUGUAUGAGUUGCAGGAAACAGAAGAGAUUGAGCUCUCAAGUCAAAUCUAUGGGAUUGGUGUGUAAGGUAACUGCUUUUUAUUCAGCUGAUGGGUUUCCUGAUUUAAUCAAUAAAAAUUUCAAAAUCUGGGGUUCUCCAUUGAUAUGUUGAAAGUGUGUGCUUGAGAUUUCGGCCAUGGCUGUGUUGAAAUCUAUGGUUCAAGCUCCGCAACCUCUUUGAAUUUCUAUUCUCUCCAAUACGGCUCACAAAUAAAUUUUUGCGGAAAUCUGUAAUUGAUAAAGAUUUAGUUGAAUAAAUCACUUAACCGUUGCCUCUUCUUGAUGAAUUUGUGUUCUUUCGAAGCUUGUAAAUCCUAGUUUGCUGAUUCAAGCUUUCCUCCGGCCGAAUCGUCGGCGAAACAGAGGUUCUGAACGGCGAUUUUGAGUGGGGAAAGUAAAUCUUCUUAAAACGACUUCGUUUUUGAGAAGUGGAUUUUCAGACUUUGUUUUUGUCGGGUCCAGCUCCGAGGCCAUUUUGUGGGGAUUGGAAAUAAAGGCGGACCCGACUUCUAUUCGGCCUAGUAUUUUAGAGCCAGGCCCGCUUACCUCCGCCUUUCUAGACCAGGCCUGGUAACCGUCUGACCUUACCCGGCCAAAAAUCGCCGACCCGACUUGUUUAAGCGGGAACACCACGCGUGAGUAGGGGUGACGCGCGGUUUUUGCGAGUGGGCUUCCUCGCUCACGCGUAGAGCUUCCAGUCGCGCGUGUUAUCCAGACUCUUACGCUCAUUCACUCGCGAGGUUAGUUUGCACGCGCCAAUGUUUCAGCUGCUUGUUCUGUGGUUUUUUUCCCCUCGAUACCCCUUCUCCGCCGCCGAGGAAUCGACUCAUCCCUGCUUCAUCUGAUUCUGGCGCUGUGGUUGAAUGCCAACAGAGGUAAUAGGAUUGAGAAUAGAGAAGGAUAACCAACAAUUUGAAGAAAGGGAGAGACGGAAAGUAAAGAGCGAGACGACUCAUCCCUGCUUCAUCUCAUCCCCCGUGGUGUUGUUUUGCUCUGUGAGCAAGUUGGUUCGAAGAAUGGCGAUCCACUUCUCAAAACCUGCAGCUGUUAGUGGGUAGUAAUAGCUCAUUUGGUUUGUGCUUAAGCUGCUUUCGUUUGCUUUUGAUUAAAGGGAUUAUGUCUCCAACUCCGGCUGCUCUUUCUGAAUAGCAUUGAAAUCUAAGAAGUAAGCAAAUGGAAAGCUACCUCCAACUGCCACAAUCUCAGGUGCAUGCCCCCUGUUCUGUAAGCCUCUUGAAUCUUUCUCCUAGCUUUUGACAUGACUAAUGGUUUGUUUCUCCAUUUACUUUCAUGGGUUACAGUAGGAUAUGCAGCAGUCAUAGAGAGGCCUUGAAGCAAAUUACAUGAAUCUGAAACGUCUGGUAAUCAUCGUAAUUAGUCGACUGUGAUAUACUGAAAACAGCUGGGAUUGAAUGUUACAGCUGGUAGAAGAAAAUUGGGCGAGAAAGGUGGAAUCUUUUGUAUGCACUGAUGCUGCAGGAGUUGAUAUGGUAUUUGAUUUAGAUGCUUGGUUCAUGAGUUCCUUAGUCAUGUUACAUGAUAAUAACCCAUGAAAGAAAUAACACAUUUCUUUGUGAUUACUGGAAAAGAGGGAAAAUUGUGAGGCAUUAGCUAUAAUUAUAUUGAGCUUAACUAGUUUUUUCUUGGUUUAUGUUCAGUAUAUAAAUUGGCAAGGUCCUCAAUUUUAUACUUGAUUCCCCAUGCUAACAAAAAGUUCAAGGCUUGAUUGUUCAUAUGUGAGAAGACAAAUAUAUUGAUUGGAUGAUAUUAAUCACAUCAACUGACCGAUCUUUCGUUACUUACAGGCUGGAAUUGUCAUGUUGGAAAUGCUUACGAACACGAUAGAGAACGGAGCAACAGUUAUCGGGUCCGAUAGUCUGGCCUGAACAGGUUCCAACUGAGGUAUAGUUCCGGUAGAAGUAUCCAUAGCUAAUACUUUCCCGUUCAAAAGUACAGUCUGGCUGUGUAAAUCGCCACCGUUAGCAGUUAAAUGAUAUUCCUUUCUUGAAGUUGCAUCGACCUUGGAACCCGAUCUCCUCAUCUUUGCAAAUUUUGUUCUUCGAUUGUGGUAGCGUUUGACUGUCUGAACAGCGGUGGCAUCUUCAUUCGAGACACGAACGCUAACUGUAGUAUUGCCAUCAAGAUUUAUCAACAGUAAUGUGAUUCCUUGCUGCAUUUUCAGUAUAUUAGUCGACUUGACAUGAAUAUAUCCAUCAUUUUGUUAGUUUCAGUUGUUGACUUUACUUACAUAUGUCUUUGAACAGUGAGCAUAAGCGCGUAUCUUUUUGGUUCCGGAGAAACUCGCGGGGAGCACAGUUCUUCCCAUCAAACGGUGCCACAAGAGUGCACUAGUCAACAUAGGGCAAAACAUAAGAGUUAACUAGAGGAAAAGCUGAUAUUAGAGGAGGAUUAUAACAUACUAAAGGUCUCCAGUCCUUUUACUUUUCUUAUUGCAUGGUUGCAGCUGAAGCUCACCUGUAGUAGUCUGGGUUCGGAACGAAGGUGGUCGUGUCGAGAAGGCCGUAAUUGCCUCCGACUAAUGACUGCCGACAGUAAGUUUUGGUGUCGUAAGAUGCUGCCAUUCCUAACUGGUCCAAGUACCUGUUAGGAAUGACAAUAUCAACAGAUCGAAUAAAAGAGCAGUACAAAGUUCGAAAGGAAAACGACUUGG
rnacentral:lncRNA from 1 species